GUGGAGCAAGAAAAGACAUUCUAACACCAAGGUCCAAGAGGUGAGUCCAUUUGGAAUGAGAACUUAAAGGUGAGUGUAUAUGGGGUGGGGGCCAUAACAGAGAGGUCAAAAGGAGAAACAUAGGAAAUGAGGUCUCCCCUUCAGUGUGCAGGUGACAGCUCAGGUCAAAGACCCUGACCUUUGUCAAGACUAUUUGGAAUAGUUUGGGGAGGCCACCUUAGGCUAAACAUCAACUUACAGGUUUCUUUCCAUUCUUUUCUGAUCUAGUUGUGUUUUCUCUUCAGAAUAGAUCCUUUGCCUGGACACCCAUAGUAGGAAUCUCUCCUAGGAAUUAAGAUGUAGCAGUUCCUCCCACUUUCAUGGGGAGUCAAAAAUGAUCCUUUCUCUCUCGACGGCAGAUUCUCUUCUUCACUUAGAGAAGACAUUGUGUGCUGAUUUCAGAACUGUGUGGUUCAACUGACUGACUGUUUCCUAGAAUCAGCAGCAGACACCCCAGUACGUGACUGACAAAGUAUUGGCCUUUAACUCCCCAUACUCUUACCUUUCUUCAUCCCCUACACCAGACAUUUUCCUUCACUGACAGGCCCUUAUGUAUCCUGAAUGGGAAUUCAAGGGGCUAUCGGAUGUGAGGCUAGAACAGAGGCACAGAUGGAGACCCAAAUCCUCUACUCCUUGGCUGCUCCCCUCCUGCCUCUGGAGAGCCUUUGGUAAGAUCUGGAGCUGUAGGUAGCUCUUAGAAGACACUGCUUUGCAAAGACUCAUUCUAUCAAUCCUUGAACAAAUCCUCAGGGAAACUCCCAGCUGCCUUCUAUGUUUCUCUUCCUCCCUAAGGGAAAAUAGGUUUCCUAGUAACCGUCUUCUCUUGGAGUAGAUUGCCAGAAGCAGUCCCAGUGGCUUAUAUUCCAGGGGUUCCUAAGAAAAUCAUACAUAACCAAACAUACAGAUCUAUAGCACAGCAUUAAAGCAAUCAUUAAUACAAUUUUCCAACAAAACACAGUGACAGUGGUGGCCAGUGGUAGUGAUACAUUUCUGAUGCUAUACUGUCAUCAGGGGCCCUUUGGAGUAAAAGCCACAACUAGUAGAAUCUUUUGGAAUCCUGCUACUCUCUUUGUAGGAAAUGUCCUUCCUUGCAUGUUGGACUGUGGCGAUGUAGGGCUGAAGGUGAAGUAUUAUCUUCCAUUGAAAGUAAAAGCAUAUCGACCCCAGGCAAUUAAAAGCAAUCUCUUUGGAUGCCUGCAUUGUUAUCAAUAACUUGACAGUUUUGCCUAUUUGAAAUUCAGCUUCAUGUUGGGUAAUUGUCAAUUCAAAACUUAAAAGGGGGCUCUCUCAGCUAAGUAUUGAGCUCCAUGAGACUACCCCCUCUUAACAAUUUCAUUGUUCCUCUUGGGAAAAAAAUGUUAAAUUUGAAAGCCUAUCAUUUCCAAAAAUGAUAUUAACUAGCUUGUUCAUAAUUCUUAAGAAAAAAGCUUUAUAUAAUGUCCCAGCUAUGAGUUGUAGUAUGCGUGUAUGGUUUUAAUUAUCAUCAUCUCCAUUUUAAAAGUAAAAAACUCAAGACCCGGAGAGUUAAGGUAUUGUUCAAGGUCACAUAUAUUACAAGGUGCCAUAAGAAUUUAAUCCAGGCCUUAUCCACAACCAGAGCUCAAUCCCCAUAGCUUUUCUGUGGUUUACUGAAGCAGCUUCCUCGUUUCCACUGUGCGCUUCUUUGGAGUUUUUGUGCUAUCUAGAUUCAUGAGGGUAUUCUCACCUUCCCCAGAUCUGCAUAUCAGAAGUGAAUGAUCUUACAUGUUAUUUUUCCUACUUUCCCCUAUACUUCCAGCAGAAAUGGAUUCCAUAUUUUUCUUGACUUUGCACAUUUUUGUUUUAUAUAAAAAGCAUAUUCAUCUACUUGAAAGCUAAUUCGCAUAUUGCUGUUAGCACACAUGGAGUCAUGAAGAACAGUCCCAUGCACCUUCACCCAUUUGUAACUACUCUCUGAAUCCCCAUUGCCACACAUGUGAUCCUUACAUUAUUCUGCAUUCUGUACUUGAUUACCAAGUAUAAAUUCUCAACUUGUGGUUUAUGUAAAUCCCUAAAAGGCUUUAUCAAUAUCUGCCAUAUGGUCUGCUUUCAGCAAAUAUCUACGAAAUGAAAUUUGCUGGAAAUGUUUCUGGAUUAAUCUGGGUCAGAGCUCAGAGUAAGAACUUGUCCAAAUUAGGUAUCCACAUAUGGGGAGCUUGGCUCAUGGGUCUCUGUCUGCUGUGUGGACGACUCAGGUUAGUGAUAUGAAUUUUCAGGCUCUACAGAAUUUCCACUGUUAGAAAGGGGUGGUGGAUGACAAGCAGGAGACAGUAAAUUGCCAAAGGUCGUACAAUGUUGAAGUCUCAGAGCUACUGAGCUGUGAUUCAGAUCACCUUCACACUGGUGCAAUAUUCUUUUUACUAUAUCAUGCUGACACAAACAGAACAACUGAUGACAUUUAAAAUAUCAUGCCAUCAAUUUUUCUUGUCCUGGAAUCCAACAAAUUUUCCUUUGUAAUGUAACUGGAAACUUUAGAAGAAAUCAGAGCCCCGACUUGAAGAAAUACAGUUACUUAGCAUAUUAUAAAAGCAGUUUCCAGGUUUUUAUGUCCAUCAACUCAUGAAUCGACAAUAAAAAUACAUAUUUAAACUAAGGAGAAUUAUUUAGCAGUUAGGAAAAUCCAAGUUAGGAAAUUUUUAGGUAAAUGAAUGUAGAUUGAAACAAUAAAUCUGAGUGAGGUAACCCACUGAGAAAUACAAACUUUACAUAUUUUUAUUCAUCUGUGAAUGUUAGCUUUGAAUCUUAAGAUAUGUGUGUUUCAUUUGGAAUAGCUAUAAGGGGAGGGGAUUAUGAGACCAUGGUGGGGACACUCAUGGGAAAGGAGACAGAAUGAAGUGGUAUAAAGAGUAAAGAAGGGAUAAUGAACCAGGAAGGGGUAAAUUUGAGUUGGGAAUGGGAUGGCAGAAAUAGAGGAAAAAAGGGAUAAAUACAAGGAGGGAUAAAUAGCACUAAACACUUUUUUUAAUGUCAUGUGGAAAUAGACUACUGUAGAAAUUUCCUAAAAUAUAUACAUACACAUAUAGAAAGUAUUUAAAUUGAGUUACCCCAUAACAAGAAAACAAUGAUCCUACUACUCACAGGCUAAAAAAUAGAUGGGCCAGUGCUGGGGAUGGGUUACUUCUUUAUAGUUCUUGGUCGGUAGUGUCCCAUAGAUGACCCUUAAAUGUAAUAGGACAUUGCCAUUGGUCUUGCUUACCCUCCAGAAUGUGACAUUGAAAUGCUAUUUUUGAAGAUACCACAUAGUUGAUCCAUAAAACAGGGGGAAAUAAAACUAGUACUGACUUAGAAGCUUCAUCCCUCCCAGAGAUAGGGUGGAAGGUGCUAAUACCACUGGAGGAGAAAAAUAAUCAUCAGUUGUGACCAACUGUGAACCUUAUGGGUUACGAAAGUGAUUGGCCUGGCAAGGACGCACUUACUGGUCCAAUAAUAGCAUGAACAUCAUAGGAAUAACCUAGCACAUUUUGAUUUGAUUUACAUUUUACUGCAAAGGAUGAAAACUAUCCCUGGCACCAUUGUUGGGCAAAGAACAUGUAGCUAGACAUGUGUUCACAGGUGAGAACCCAUGACUAUUUUUUUUUCUGCUAACCUAUUCCUAGUGGCUUAGCUUUGUGCCCUAUAUCCAGUCAACUCUUAAUUCUCAUUGGAGAAUCUUCUUUUGGCAGUGGAUGGCACUUAACACAGAUACCAGUCAAGAAGCAGAAAAUAAAAUAUUAUAGAAUGCUUAGCCUUAAAUAGGACAUUUAUAUUAUAACCCCUCUUCUCAAGGUUUAGGGAUCAUGGUGGAAGAUGGGGAGGAAAUAUUGUGAGAGCCGUAGAAGACAAGUGCCUAUAUGAAAACAAUGUCUUCUAGACACAGCAGGGUUGUUUUCACGUAUGAAUUCAGAGCAGUUGAGAGAGAAUGCACAAAACCUCUGUAGGCUCAGACCAGAAAAAAAAAUCACAGCAUGGAUGGUAAGGAUGGACACAAAGACCCACUUCUACCUAAGGAGCUAUUGAGAACUGAUAUGUACUGGCUGAGGGAGAGUCAAUUUUCUUUUUAAAGAUGUUAACUUUGGUGGGCUGACUAUAUUCCACUGAAAACCACAAGUUCAAAGUGUGUAAGGGCAGAAUGAACUGUAAUUGAUGGGUUUAAACCAAAAGAGGACAUAAUUGGGGUGAUCGGCAAAAAUAGUGAGUCCAGGAGGAGUUGGCAGAAGGGAUAAAUAUGAACAGAAUACAUUGUAUGAAAUUCUAAAAGAAUGAAUAAAAUAAGAGAAAAAAUUUCUAUUUAAUAGAGUCUUUGCUCUCACAGUUACUUUGCUCAAGUAGAUGCUUCUCAAGUAUUCAUAGGUGGAUUAUCAAAAAGCAAAUUUUACUUUUUGAGUUCUUGUUAAUAUUACUGCAGACCCAAGUCAUUAAAUCUUUGUGAAGUCAACUUUAAUAUACUUGUCUUCUGAAGUUUGAAGAUAUAAGUUUUAAGGAGAGUUUUUAUUGUCAAACUCUUAAGCACAACUUAAUGAUUUUUGAGUGUCAAUUCUAAAUGUUCUUACCACAAAAUGUAGGUGCAUGAGGUGUUCUCUAGCAUAAUUCAGCUGCCACAAUGUACAAAUACAGAAACAUCAUCUUGCAUAACAUAACACAACUAAAAUAAUUUUUAAAGAAAGCUCUUGGAAAUUUUUGUACAGAAGUCAAGUACAGCUGGACUUGUGGGGACAAAGGGCUAGCAUUUGUUGAUGCAUAGUACGUGGCCAAGAA
rnacentral:sRNA from 1 species